rnacentral:rRNA from 1 species
UACGUAGGUGGCAAGCGUUGUCCGGAAUUAUUGGGCGUAAAGCGCGCGCAGGCGGUCUUUUAAGUCAGAUGUGAAAUCCCCGGGCUUAACCUGGGAACUGCGUUUGAAACUGGAAGGCUUGAGUGUGGCAGAGGGGGGUGGAAUUCCACGUGUAGCAGUGAAAUGCGUAGAUAUGUGGAGGAACACCGAUGGCGAAGGCAGCCCCCUGGGCUAACACUGACGCUCAUGCACGAAAGCGUGGGGAGCAAACAGG